rnacentral:rRNA from 1 species
AGAGUUUGAUCCUGGCUCAGAAUCAACGCUGGCGGCGCGCUUAACACAUGCAAGUCGCACGAGAAAGGGGCAACCUGAGUAAAGUGGCGUACGGGUGAGUAACACGUGGAUCAUCUACCUUCUAGUGGGGAAUACCUCUGGGAAACCGGAGACAAUACCGCAUAAGCUCGUGAGAGGAAAGCAGCAAUGCGCUGGAAGAG